CUGAAUAAUGCAGACCAUUCAGCGAAGUUUCAUUCCCCGCCUGGGUCAGUUUCUAGCCCUACAGCUGGGAGCUCUCAGUUAUUACUUCGCAAAGCGCUGAACGAUAACGGCUCACAAAUACAGCCCCGACCCGAACGUACCCCAGGUUGAUGCGCUCUACGUCCGGAGCGAUGCGCGGAGGGACGGCGGUGAAGUAGCGGAAGGUGCAGUGCACCUCGGCGGGGCCGUAGCAGGCGCAGAGGCGGGGGCACACGGCGGCCAGGCGGGCGGCCAGGCAGGCGGCGAGCAGCGGCCGCAGCCAACGGCGGCACGGGGCGCCCAUCGUGCGGGAACCGCUGCGGCGCGGCCGUCACGGCGCGGGGAGCGGCGGGGCUCUGCACGGGAAGCAAAGCCGGCGUUCGGAGCGCCGGCCGUGCCGGGCCGCUCCCGUUGACGAAGCUUCGCAGCUUCAAAGAAAAGCCGGGCCGCCGGGCUGAGCCGAAGCUCUCGGUUCUGCUCUCGGUUCUGCCCUCGGGUUUCGGAUCGCUGAAAUGAAACGCGUCGUUCUGAGAAGUGGCCGCACGCCCUUCGUCCGAGGGAGCCGCGCACCCGGCGCCGCUGCUUGCAGGUGCCACCUCGAUGGCCAGGAGGAACAUGAGAGCGCGCUGCCCCAUCCUCCAGGUGCUGCUUCUCUGACUGCUUGUUGCUGGCCAAAUUCUUCCAGUAUCUUCUGUGCCAAUUCACUGUGUGGUUCCAGAUCACGUGUCUUGUUGUUCAGAACUGGACUGUCUUACCGUUUACUUAAGUAUGGAAGUAAUCCCAAGCAAAACAAAAUAAAUGGUAAAGCAGCAUGCCAGCUGCUUUAGGAAUAUGUUGUUCUAAACUCAUGUUGGAAAAGGAAAGCCCACAGAGAGGUUUGAUGUCCAAAUCUAUCCAAGAAUUGAGCUUGCUGUGGAGCAAUGGCUUCCCAGGGCACAAGGCUGCCCACUGCCUCAUUCUUCUGCAGCAGUCAGGCGGGAGGAAUGGGAACCUGCCCAGAGCAUCAGCUGACACAUGGCCGGCAAUGGGCUGAGCCGCCGCUCCGCUCCCAGAGCCCUCUGCUUGCACCAGAAAUGAUUUCCCCUGAAAAGGUUAUGGCUUCUGCUCUAAUUUACGUGUGGAAAGGCCCGAAGAUGUGAUGUGAAGCAAUCACAUCUGCCAGAGCUUUUGAAGGCUGAAACAACAACACUUUGAUAAGAGAACAGCCGGUCUGCAUCUGCAGCAGUAUGAAGUGCAGUGCCUGAGUGAGUCCCUGCCGGACCCGCGCCGGGGGAGCAGCUGUACACAAACAGCCCCAUUUGUAAGGAAACCACCGCUGGGCCACCGUCCCAUGACAGGGCUGUAAGCACGAGGUUAUGCAAUGCUUUCUGUAAGGUGCUUUUAGUUCCUCAGCUUACCUCAGCCUACCCUUGCAUGCUCCAGACUGGAUCUCCAGUAUCAGCAUCUCUUAUGCAGUGGAGCGCACCAACUGCACUGUGCAGGUAAAUGCAGAUCUCUGCUCCUGAGGCCAAGUGCUGAAGAAACAGAGUAAGCCGUGCUUGAAAGGUCGUGAAGAACAUUUGGGUGGAAUGUUUGGUGAAUUCAGGUUCUUAGGCAUGAAGGGAAAGUUCAGCUCACAGGGUACAUACUCUCCACAAGGCUUUAGGUAGUCCUACCAUAUUUUCCAAAGCAAAUACUGCAGAUUUGAGACGUGACCACAAUACCUCCAGGAUCAGAACCACAGAGAACGCCGGCAUCUGCAGGAAGCUCGUGCUUUAACCAGUUUCUUUAAGCGAGCUUUAAAGCUUUUUCUCUAGACUGAAAUAGAGGUUGCAAGCAGAGCAGCUAACAGAAGCAUCACAAGGCUCUGGUAAGGGCUGGCUCAGGGCGUUGUUGGACAGCCUUGAAACCAAUCUCAGGCUCUGAGAGCACCGCGGUGUGAAUCUGCAAAAUAGCACACUGAGGUACAGUUCUUCUGCGGCUCAAGGCCGUGGUCAGGCACUUCAGUUUUGUUGUGAUGGACUGGACAGGCUUUCAGCAAAGCAUCCAUUGAUUCUGCAAACACAGUCGGUGUUUUUAAAUUGCUCGUGUAUUUGCACAGAUAACACAGGAACUGUAAGUCACAUCUGCUUUGUACAGUGUUGAGCUCCGUGUAGCCUGCAAGAACCCAGGCAACGUGACCGAGGAGUUUAUGUAUCAAGGAUUGGGUUUUUCUCAUUCACGUGAGUAAACACAUUCAGGUAUGCAGUCCGAAUGCUGAAUGCUGCUAAUGCUUAAAUAAAUACUUCUAUUAACGUGGAGAGAGCCAGCAGCGGGUCAUGGGAAAACAGAUCCCGCUCCCAUUUCCCAGGAGCAAAAUCCUGUGACAAUAAUCCUGUCGCAGUUCACUUUCAGUCCUAUUUAAGUUAAUGGUCUUGUUAACUCUCAGAAUCUCGGGGCUGACUUCACAGUGCACCUCGGGUUGACUGGUCCCCCUUCCACUCCUGCUCCUUCUCCAUGGCAUAAUGGCACUGAUAUCUCAGUGGCUCAAGGGGACGCUACCAGAUCUGGCUGCUUUAAUUCCCAUUUCUAUUCCAGCAGUGCUGGCUGUAAAAUGGCCACAAAAUUAAAACUUAAUCAAUGUAAAACAUUAUACUCACGUUACUUUCUCC
rnacentral:lncRNA from 1 species